CCGAAUUAAGGUGAAACCGCGAAAGGCUCAUUAAAUCAGUUAUGGUUCCUUAGAUCGUACCCACUUUUACUUGGAUAACUGUGGUAAUUCUAGAGCUAAUACACGCACUUCGAGCUCCGCCCGGAGACGGGCGGAGGGCUUUUAUUAGAUCAAAACCAAUCGGCGGCGGCCUCGCGGCCGUCGUCGUUCAUUUGAUGACUCUCAAUAACUUACGCUGAUCGCACGGCCUAGCGCCGGCGACGCAUCUUUCAAAUGUCUGCCUUAUCAACUGUCGAUGGUAGGAUCUGCGCCUACCAUGGUCGUAACGGGUAACGGGGAAUCAGGGUUCGAUUCCGGAGAGGGAGCCUGAGAAACGGCUACCACAUCUAAGGAAGGCAGCAGGCGCGCAAAUUACCCACUCCCGGCACGGGGAGGUAGUGACGAAAAAUAACGAUACGGGACUCAUCCGAGGCCCCGUAAUCGGAAUGAGUACACUCUAAACCUUUUCACAAGGACCAAUUGGAGGGCAAGUCUGGUGCCAGCAGCCGCGGUAAUUCCAGCUCCAAUAGCGUAUAUUAAAGUUGCUGCGGUUAAAAAGCUCGUAGUCGAAUCUGUGUCUCGCGCCGCCGGUUCAUCGCUCGCGGUGUCAACUGGCGCGCGGCGAGACGUCUUGCCGGUGGGCGCGCGGCUCCGAGCGGGUCGCGCCGCCCAACCAAUACCCGCGGCGGUGCUCUUAGCUGAGUGUCGAAGCGGGCCGGCACGUUUACUUUGAACAAAUUAGAGUGCUUAAAGCAGGCCAAGUACUUGCCUGAAUACUGCGUGCAUGGAAUAAUGGAAUAGGACCUCGGUUCUAUUUUGUUGGUUUUCGGACCCCGAGGUAAUGAUUAAUAGGAACGGAUGGGGGCAUUAGUAUUGCGACGUUAGAGGUGAAAUUCUUGGAUCGUCGCAAGACUGACCAGAGCGAAAGCAUUUGCCAAAAACGUUUUCAUUGAUCAAGAACGAAAGUUAGAGGUUCGAAGGCGAUCAGAUACCGCCCUAGUUCUAACCAUAAACGAUGCCAGCUAGCGAUCCGCCGAUGUUCCUAAUUACGACUCGGCGGGCAGCUUCCGGGAAACCAAAGCUUUUGGGUUCCGGGGGAAGUAUGGUUGCAAAGCUGAAACUUAAAGGAAUUGACGGAAGGGCACCACCAGGAGUGGAGCCUGCGGCUUAAUUUGACUCAACACGGGGAACCUCACCAGGCCCAGACACCGGAAGGAUGAACAGAUUGAGAGCACUUUUUUGAUUCGGUGGGUGGUGGUGCAUGGUCGUUCUUAGUUGGUGGAGUGAUUUGUCUGGUUAAUUCCGAUAACGAACGAGAUUCUAUCCUACUAAAUAGGCGUUUUACGGCAUGCAGAGACCGGCCGGCGAAGGCUUCGGUCCGAGCCGCGCCCGGUUUUACUGCCGGCGCGCUAUAAAUUCUUCUUAGAGGGACAAGCGGCGGCUCAAGCCGCACGAGAUUGAGCAAUAACAGGUCUGUGAUGCCCUUAGAUGUUCUGGGCCGCACGCGCGCUACACUGAAGGGAUCAGCGUGUCUUUCCCUGGCCGAGAGGCCCGGGUAACCCGCUGAACCCCCUUCGUGCUAGGGAUUGGGGCUUGCAAUUGUUCCCCAUGAACGAGGAAUUCCCAGUAAGCGCGAGUCAUAAGCUCGCGUUGAUUACGUCCCUGCCCUUUGUACACACCGCCCGUCGCUACUACCGAUUGAAUGAUUUAAUGAGGUCUUCGGACUGGUACGCGGCGGCGUUACGGCGUCCKCCGSUGCUGCCGGAAAGAUGACCAAACUUGAUCCUUUAGAG
rnacentral:rRNA from 1 species